rnacentral:rRNA from 1 species
UGACGAGUUUGAUCCUGGCUCAGAUUGAACGCUGGCGGCAUGCUUUACACAUGCAAGUCGAACGGUAACAGGUUAAGCUGACGAGUGGCGAACGGGUGAGUAAUGCAUCGGAACGUGCCCGAUCGUGGGGAUAACGCAGCGAAAGCUGCGCUAAUACCGCAUACGAUCUGAGGAUGAAAGCGGGGAUCGCAAGCCUCGCGCGAUUGGAGCGGCCGAUAUCAGAUUAGGUAGUUGGUGAGGU